CUCAGUACUGGUACCCCCUGUAAAUAGCCUCCACAUUGACUCUGUACCGGUACCCCCUGUAUAUAGCCUCCACAUUGACUCUGUACCGGUACCCCCUGUAUAUAGCCUCCACUUUGACGCUGUACCGGUACCCCCUGUAUAUAGCCUUCACAUUGACUCUGUACUGGUACCCCCUGUAUAUAGCCUCCACUUUGAUGCUGUACCGGUACCCCCUGUAUAUAGCCUCCACAUUGACUCUGUACCGUAAUACCCUGUAUAUAGCCUCCACAUUGACUCUGUACCGGUACCCCCUGUAUAUAGCCUCCACAUUGACUCUGUACCGGUACCCCCUGUAUAUAGCCUCCACAUUGACUCUGUACCGGUACCCCCUGUAUAUUGCCUCCACAUUGACUCUAUACCGGUACCCCCUGUAUAUAGCCUCCACAUUGACUCAGUACCGUAAUACCCUGUAUAUAGCCUCCACAUUGACUCUGUACCGGUACCCCCUGUAUAUAGCCUCCACAUUGACUCUGUACCGGUACCCCCUGUAUAUAGCCUCCACAUUGACUCUGUACCGGUACCCCCUGUAUAUUGCCUCCACAUUGACUCUAUACCGGUACCCCCUGUAUAUAGCCUCCACAUUGACUCUGUACCGGUACCCCCUGUAUAUUGCCUCCACAUUGACUCUAUACCGGUACCCCCUGUAUAUAGCCUCCACAUUGACUCAGUACCGUAAUACCCUGUAUAGCCUCUUUAUUGUUAUGUAAUUUUCUUGUGUUACUUUUCUUAACUACGUUGUUGGUUGCUGCGUUGUUGGUUAAGGGCUUGUAAGUAAGCAUUUCACGGUAAGGUCUACACCUGUUGUAUUCGGCGCAUGUGACAAAUAUAAAUUGAUUUGAUUUGAAGCCAGAUCGGGGAGAGAAGAGGUAGACUGCUGGACUCCAAGCUGCCACGCGGUCAAAGUGUUUUAGAUUAUUGUAGUUGUCAAGGUGUUUUAGAGUAUUGUUGUUGUCAGGGUGUUUUAGAGUAUUGUUGUUGUCAAGGUGUUUUAGAGUAUUGUUGUUGUCACGGUGUUUUAGAGUAUUGUAGUUGUCAAGGGGUUUUAGAGUAUUGUUGUUGUCAAGGUGUUUUAGAGUAUUGUUGUUGUGGAGGUGUUUUAGAGUAUUGUUGUUGUGAAGGUGUUUUAGAGUAUUGUAGUUGUCAAGGUGUUUUAGAGUAUUGCUGUUGUCAGGGUGUUUUAGAGUAUUGUUGUUGUCAAGGUGCUUUAGAGUAUUGCUGUUGUCAGGGUGUUUUAGAGUAUUGCUGUUGUGAGGUGUUUUAGAGUAUUGUUGUUGUCAAGGCGUUUUAGAGUAUUGUUGUUGUGAAGGUGUGUUAGAGCAUUGUUGUUGUCAAGGUGUUUUAGAGUAUUGUUGUUGUCAAUGCGUUUAAAGUAUUGUUGUUGCCAAGGUGUUUUAGAGUAUUGUGUUUGUGAAGGUGUUUUAGAGUAUUGUUGUUGUGGAGGUGUUUUAGAGUAUUGUUGUUGUGGAAGUGUUUUAGAGUAUUGUUGUUGUGAAUGUGUUUUAGAGUAUUUUAGUUGUCAAGGUGUUUUAGAGUAUUGUUGUUGUGGAGGUGUUUUAGAGUAUUGUUGUUGUGAAGGUGUUUUAGAGUAUUGUAGUUGUCAAUGUGUUUUAGAGUAUUGCUGUUGUCAGGGUGUUUUAGAGUAUUGUUGUUGUCAAGGUACUUUAGAGUAUUGCUGUUGUCAGGGUGUUUUAGAGUAUUGCUGUUGUGAGGUGUUUUAGAGUAUUGUUGUUGUCAAGGCGUUUCAGAGUAUUGUUGUUGUGAAGGUGUGUUAGAGCAUUGUUGUUGUCAAGGUGUUUUAGAGUAUUGUUGUUGCGAAGGUGUUUUAGAGUAUUGUUGUUGUCAAUGCGUUUAAAGUAUUGUUGUUGCCAAGGUGUUUUAGAGUAUUGUGUUUGUGAAGGUGUUUUAGAGUAUUGUUGUUGUGGAGGUGUUUUAGAGUAUUGUUGUUGUGGAAGUGUUUUAGAGUAUUGUUGUUGUGAAGGUGUUUUAGAGUAUUGUUGCCGUCGGGGCGUUUUAGAGUAUUGAUGUUGUCAAGGUGUUUUAGAGUAUUGUUGUUGUCAAGGUGUUUUAGAGUAUUGUUGCCGUCGGGGCGUUUUAGAGUAUUGUUGUUGUCAAGGUGUUUUAGAGUAUUGUUGUUGUCAAGGUGUUUUAGAGUAUUGUAGUUGUCAAUGUGUUUUAGAGUAUUGUUGUUGUCAAGGUGUUUUAGAGUAUUGUGUUUGUGAAGGUGUUUUAGAGUAUUGUUGUUGUCAAGGUGUUUUAGAGUAUUGUUGUUGCCGUGUUUUAGAGUAUUGUAGUUGUCAAGGUGUUUUAGAGUAUUGUUGUUGUGGAGGUGUUUUAGAGUAUUGUUGUUGUGAAGGUGUUUUAGAGUAUUGUAGUUGUCAAGGUGUUUUAGAGUAUUGCUGUUGUCAGGGUGUUUUUGAGUAUUGUUGUUGUCAAGGUGCUUUAGGGUAUUGCUGUUGUCAGGGUGUUUUAGAGUAUUGCUGUUGUGAGGUGUUUUAGAGUAUUGUUGUUGUCAAGGCGUUUUAGAGUAUUGUUGUUGUGAAGGUGUGUUAGAGCAUUGUUGUUGUCAAGGUGUUUUAGAGUAUUGUUGUUGCGAAGGUGUUUUAGAGUAUUGUUGUUGUCAAUGCGUUUAAAGUAUUGUUGUUGCCAAGGUGUUUUAGAGUAUUGUGUUUGUGAAGGUGUUUUAGAAUAUUGUUGCUGUCAAGGUGUUUUAGAGUAUUUUGUUUGUGAAGGUGUUUUAGAGUAUUGUUGUUGUCAAGGUGUUUUAGAGUAUUGUUGUGGCGGAGAUCUUUGUGGGCUAUACUCGGCCUUGUCUCAGGAUGGUAAGUUGAUGGUUGAAGAUAUCCCUCUAGUGGUGUGGGGGCUGUGCUUUGGCAAAGUGGGUGGGGUUAUAUCCUUCCUGUUUGGCCCUGUCCGGGGGUGUCCUCGGAUGGGGCCACAGUGUCUCCUGACCCCUCCUGUCUCAGCCUCCAGUAUUUCUGCUGCAGUAGUUUAUGUGUCGGGGGGGGCUAGGGUCAGUUUGUUAUAUCUGGAGUACUUAUCCUGUCCUAUUCGGUGUCCUGUGUGAAUCUAAGUGUGCGUUCUCUAAUUCUCUCCUUCUCUCUUUCUUUCUCUCUCUCGGAGGACCUGAGCCCUAGGACCAUGCCCCAGGACUACCUGACAUGAUGACUCCUUGCUGUCCCCAGUCCACCUGGCCAUGCUGCUGCUCCAGUCUCAACUGGCCUGGGCCCUAGGACCAUGUCCCAGGACUACCUGACAUGAUGACUCCUUGCUGUCCCCAGUCCACCUGGCCAUGCUGCUGCUCCAGUUUCAACUGUCCUGCCUUACUAUUAUUCAACCAUGCUGGUCAUUUAUGAACAUUUGAACAUCUUGGCCACGUUCUGUUAUAAUCUCCACCCGGCACAGCCAGAAGAGGACUGGCCACCCCACAUAUGCUCUCUCUAAUUCUCUCUUUCUUCUCUCUCUCGGAGGACCUGAGCCCUAGGACCGUGCCCCAGGACUACCUGACAUGAUGGCUCCUUGCUGUCCCCAGUCCACCUGACUGUGCUGCUGCUCCAGUUUCAACUGUUCUGCCUUAUUAUUAUUCGACCAUGCUGGUCAUUUAUGAACAUUUGAACAUCUUGGUCAUGUUCUGUUAUAAUCUCUACCCGGCACAGCCAGAAGAGGACUGGCCACCCCACAUAGCCUGGUUCCUCUCUAGGUUUCUUCCUAGGUUUUGGCCUUUCUAGGGAGUUUUUCCUAGCCACCGUGUUUUUACACCUGCAUUGUUUGCUGUUUGGGGUUUUAGGCUGGGUUUCUGUACAGCACUUUGAGAUAUCAGCUGAUGUACGAAGGGCUAUAUAAAUACAUUUGAUUUGAUUUGAUUUGAUUUGUUGUUGCCGAGGUGUUUUAGAGUAUUGUGUUUGUGAAGGUGUUUUAGAGUAUUGUUGUUGUCAAGGUGUUUUGGAGUAUUGUUGUUGUGAAGGUGUUUUAGAGUAUUGUUGUUGUCAAGGUGUUUUGGAGUAUUGUUGUUGUGGAGGUGUUUUAGAGUAUUGUUGUUGUGAAGGUGUUUUAGAGUAUUGUAGUUGUCAAUGUGUUUUAGAGUAUUGUGUUUGUGAAGGUGUUUUAGAGUAUUGUUGUUGUCAGGGUGUUUUAGAGUAUUGUUGUUGUGGAGGUAUUUUAGAGUAUUGUUGUUGUGGAGGUGUUUUAGAGUAUUGUAGUUGUCAAGGUGUUUUAGAGUAUUGUUGUUGUCAAGGUGCUUUAGAGUAUUGCUGUUGUCAGGGUGUUUCAGAGUAUUGCUGUUGUCAGGGUGUUUUAGAGUAUUCUGUUUGUGAAGGUUUUUUAGAGUAUUGUUGUUGUGAAGGUGUUUUAGAGUAAUGUUGUUGUGAAGGUGUUUUAGAGUAUUGUUGUUGUUGUCAAUGUGUUUUAGAGUAUUGUUGUUGUGAAUGUGUUUUAGAGUAUUGUUGCUGUGAAGGUGUUUUAGAGUAUUGUUGUUGUGAAGGUGUUUUAGAGUAUUGUUGUUGUCAAUGCGUUUAAAGUAUUGUUGUUGCCAAGGUGUUUUAGAGUAUUGUUGUUGUCAAUGUGUUUUAGAGUAUUGUGUUUGUGAAGGUGUUUUAGAGUAUUGUUGUUGUCAGGGUGUUUUAGAGUAUUGUUGUUGUGGAGGUGUUUUAGAGUAUUGUUGUUGUGGAGGUGUUUUAGAGUAUUGUUGUUGUGAAGGUGUUUUAGAGUAUUGUUGUUGUCAAUGUGUUUUAGAGUAUUGUUGUUGUGAAUGUGUUUUAGAGUAUUGCUGUUGUCAAUGCGUUUAAAGUAUUGUUGUUGCCAAGGUGUUUUAGAGUAUUGUUGUUGUCAAUGUGUUUUAGAGUAUUGUGUUUGUGAAGGUGUUUUAGAGUAUUGUUGUUGUCAGGGUG